rnacentral:rRNA from 1 species
UACGGGGGGGGCAAGCGUUGUUCGGAAUUACUGGGCGUAAAGGGCUCGUAGGUGGCCAACUAAGUCAGACGUGAAAUCCCUCGGCUUAACCGGGGAACUGCGUCCGAUACUGGUGGGCUUGAAUCCGGGAGAGGGAUGCGGAAUUCCAGGUGUAGCGGUGAAAUGCGUAGAUAUCUGGAGGAACACCGGUGGCGAAGGCGGCAUCCUGGACCGGCAUUGACGCUGAGGCGCGAAAGCCAGGGGAGCAAACGGG